CAAAUCAUAAUCUCUUGGUUAUGAGCCAUCAACAAUCUGGUUCAAAACACUCCCCCUUGGAUGCCAUAAUCAUUUAGAGUUUGUAAUGUGCUUUAAUGUUACCUCUGUUCAAAAACGCGGCCGAUUUGCCGCGUUUGCGGCCGUCAAAACGCUGAUCGGAGACCAACCGUCGCGAUUUUACACAACGCGGCACAAAAAUCGGUCGACCAUUUAUUGGCCGUGAAAUAAUUAUUAAGCGCUAUUAAAAGCAUUAAUCACCGAUUUAUAACAAACAAAAUUGUUUUAGGCCCAA
rnacentral:lncRNA from 1 species